GUGGCUUUUGAAUAUAUUUUGAAUAUUUGAAACUUCCUUCUUCACUUUCACCUUCACUUUCCCCGAUGUGACCGGUCACGGAUGGACAUGUAUUUUUUGAAGCUUUGUUUUUGUAAUAUAUUGAUUUAAUAUUUUAGUGUGUAGAUUUCUUUUUGACCAUUACCAUGGAUUUUCUGGAAACAUGACCCAACACAUUGGCCCCUCUAAGAACGAUUACCCAUCAAAUCUGAUCAACUGGUGUUUUGUCCACAAGAUGGAAAAAGGGUCAAUGUCAUAGCAAACCCCUGCAGAAACCAAAGGGCAGGGUCAAAAGCAGGCAUCGUGACCACCCAAGGGCUGAUCCUGGAGUCAACGUGGGACCCUCUGAGGAAACACAGCCUCCUGUUCAGUGUGUUAACAACCCGCUGGGUAAUCCUGGAGAGGUGGUCUACGACCUGUGGACAUGUCCCAUGAACCAGACACAUCUUCAUGGAGAGAGGAGAUUAACGAUGAAGAUCCAGAGGAACCCAUGGAGAUUAACGAUGAAGAGGAACCCAUGGAGAACAUCUGACACACGCUGUGUGCAUAUUUUAUCAUUUAAUAGAAUGCCUGUUUUAUAUAUUUGGGUUUUUUUUAAAGGCAAUUCCACCAAAGUAAUGCAAGUCUAUUGACUGUUCAGUGAUGAGUAAAAUGGGAAACUGAAGCAAAGAUCAUACACCAAGACAUAACCUCUGUGGUUAAUGGUAAUAGUGAGAGAUUAGCAUGUCUUGGGGGUAUGAUAUUUGACCCUCUGUAACAUUCUCACUCAUCAUAAUUCACAAUUCAUUCAGGAUUAUCCCUAAUCAUUGUAGCAUCCACAUUGUCAGUGGCGUCAUUAGGCCUUGGCUUCCGAGGCGGUUUUUGAUGGUAAAAGAAAAAUGUCAGGCUGAUAUGCACUAUAGAUUUCAUUAAAAAAAAAUGUUUUACUGACCAAUUCUUUAAUAACCAAAUAUACUGUGCUAGGUAGUAGCAGGCACUGCAAGAAGCCCCUGGAGUGACACGGUGUCCGCUGUGAUUGGUCGAGAUAUCCCAACGCGGUGGACUGCUCAUGUCCCUUGACCCCACCCCUACAGCACGGGUUAGAUGGAGACGUCAUCACUCAGAAUAACGCCUGUCACUCAGUUAGUCUGCAGCGUAGCAUUAGUGCUCAGCGUCCUUAGGCUAUUGGGUUUCAGUCAGAGUUAUUUAAUUGUAUAUUUAAGGAAUGAGCAAGAUAAGGGUGUUGCUAUAAAUCAUGAUAUUGGGAAAAGUGUAUUUGAUUUGGCUUUCGUUUCUUGGCUGACUAGCUGAUUAGCUACUGGCUGGUUAGCUAGCUGAUAUUGAAGAGAUGAGAACGUUUUUUUGACUGAAGCACAUAUCUUCUGACCGUGACACAGUGCCCCCCUGAGGACUGAAGCUGAACUUUACUACAACAACAUAUUUAACCCUGUUUGAAAUGUGUAAUGUUGAGGUGGUAGAACUGACGGUGUUGUGCCGAAAAGCUCCCCCCUGACAGAAUUCUCCACUUCCUUCGCGUAAACGCGCACGCACUCAAUUCUUCAUUGCUGCGACUUGCCUGCUAGUUGAGAUUUCUGAUCAAGUUAGGCUGCGUUUCAUUUGAUUUUUUAUGUCGGUUUGAUCACGGAGGAGGCACUAGUAAUGUCUGCAGUUUCCGGUUUGGCUAUUUGUUUCAAGUGUAUUAGCCUAUCUAUAAAUCUCUGCCAAAAUUCGUCAUCUCUCCCAUGUCAUAUUCGACUAGUAGUUGUUCUGAAAUGUUUAUUGCUUGCUUACAUUUUACUCCCUCUUCUAUGUUUAAUAUAACACACAUACAUUAAUUAUUCUUAUCGUUUGCCAAUCCUGACGUGAAGUUUGUUCUAUAGAAA
rnacentral:lncRNA from 1 species